rnacentral:rRNA from 1 species
UACGGAGGGUGCGAGCGUUGUCCGGAAUCACUGGGCGUAAAGGGUGCGUAGGCGGGUCUUUUAAGUCAGGGGUGAAAUCCUGGAGCUCAACUCCAGAACUGCCUUUGAUACUGAGGAUCUUGAGUUCGGGAGAGGUGAGUGGAACUGCGAGUGUAGAGGUGAAAUUCGUAGAUAUUCGCAAGAACACCAGUGGCGAAGGCGGCUCACUGGCCCGGAACUGACGCUGAGGUGCGAAAGCGUGGGGAGCAAACAGGG